rnacentral:rRNA from 1 species
CCUACGGGCGGCAGCAGUGAGGAAUAUUGGUCAAUGGGCGAGAGCCUGAACCAGCCAAGUCGCGUGAAGGAUGACGGCCCUACGGGUUGUAAACUUCUUUUGUCAGGGAGCAAUUUAGUCCACGUGUGGGCUUAGCGAGAGUACCUGAAGAAAAAGCAUCGGCUAACUCCGUGCCAGCAGCCGCGGUAAUACGGAGGAUGCGAGCGUUAUCCGGAUUUAUUGGGUUUAAAGGGUGCGUAGGCGGAAUAUCAAGUCAGCGGUAAAAAUUCGGGGCUAAACCCCGUCGUGCCGUGGAAACUGAUGUUCUGGAGUGGGCGAGAAGUAUGCGGAAUGCGUGGUGUAGCGGUGAAAUGCAUAGAUAUCACGCAGAACUCCGAUUGCGAAGGCAGCAUACCGGCGCCCAACUGACGCUGAAGCACGAAAGCGUGGGUAUCGAACAGGAUUAGAUACCCGAGUAGUC